rnacentral:piRNA from 1 species
UUAGAAAUAACCUAUAAGAUUCUUCAAUG